rnacentral:rRNA from 1 species
AAUGCUUAGGAAUCUGCCUAUUAGUGGGGGACAACAUUCCGAAAGGAAUGCUAAUACCGCAUACGUCCUACGGGAGAAAGCAGGGGAUCUUCGGACCUUGCGCUAAUAGAUGAGCCUAAGUCGGAUUAGCUAGUUGGUGGGGUAAAGGCCUACCAAGGCGACGAUCUGUAGCGGGUCUGAGAGGAUGAUCCGCCACACUGGGACUGAGACACGGCCCAGACUCCUACGGGAGGCAGCAGUGGGGAAUAUUGGACAAUGGGGGGAACCCUGAUCCAGCCAUGCCGCGUGUGUGAAGAAGGCCUUAUGGUUGUAAAGCACUUUAAGCGAGGAGGAGGCUACUGAGACUAAUACUCUUGGAUAGUGGACGUUACUCGCAGAAUAAGCACCGGCUAACUCUGUGCCAGCAGCCGCGGUAAUACAGAGGGUGCGAGCGUUAAUCGGAUUUACUGGGCGUAAAGCGUGCGUAGGCGGCUUUUUAAGUCGGAUGUGAAAUCCCCGAGCUUAACUUGGGAAUUGCAUUCGAUACUGGGAAGCUAGAGUAUGGGAGAGGAUGGUAGAAUUCCAGGUGUAGCGGUGAAAUGCGUAGAGAUCUGGAGGAAUACCGAUGGCGAAGGCAGCCAUCUGGCCUAAUACUGACGCUGAGGUACGAAAGCAUGGGGAGCAAACAGGAUUAGAUACCCUGGUAGUCCAUGCCGUAAACGAUGUCUACUAGCCGUUGGGGCCUUUGAGGCUUUAGUGGCGCAGCUAACGCGAUAAGUAGACCGCCUGGGGAGUACGGUCGCAAGACUAAAACUCAAAUGAAUUGACGGGGGCCCGCACAAGCGGUGGAGCAUGUGGUUUAAUUCGAUGCAACGCGAAGAACCUUACCUGGCCUUGACAUACUAGAAACUUUCCAGAGAUGGAUUG